UGGGGAAUAUUGCACAAUGGGGGAAACCCUGAUGCAGCGACGCCGCGUGAGCGAAGAAGGUUUUCGAAUCGUAAAGCUCUGUCCUAUGAGAAGAUAAUGACGGUAUCAUAGGAGGAAGCCCCGGCUAAAUACGUGCCAGCAGCCGCGGUAAUACGUAUGGGGCGAGCGUUGUCCGGAAUUAUUGGGCGUAAAGGGUACGUAGGCGGAUAAGCAAGUUAGAAGUGAAAUCCUAUAGCUCAACUAUAGUAAGCUUUUAAAACUGCUCAUCUUGAGGUAUGGAAGGGAAAGUGGAAUUCCUAGUGUAGCGGUGAAAUGCGCAGAUAUUAGGAGGAAUACCGGUGGCGAAGGCGACUUUCUGGCCAUAUACUGACGCUGAGGUACGAAAGCGUGGGUAGCAAACAGG
rnacentral:rRNA from 1 species